GACGAACGCUGGCGGCGUGCUUAACACAUGCAAGUCGAACGAAGUGGCGAACGGGUGAGUAAUACGUGAGUACCCUGCCCUCCUUUUUGGGAUCAGCCUUGGAAACGGGGUCUAAUACCGGAUAAAGGGGGAUGGGCUCGCGGCCUAUCAGCUUGUUGGUGGGGUGAUGGCCUACCAAGGCGGUGACGGGUAGCCGGCCGGAGAUGGUGACCGGCCACAGUGGGACUGUUAUACUGCCCAGACGCCUACGGGAGUCAGCAGUGGGGGGUAUGGCGGAAUGGGCGAAAGCGUAUAGCAGAGAGGGCGCGUGGGGCAGGAAGGGAUGCAGGUCAUAGAGAUCUUUCGGUGUCGAGUGGGUACGGGUAGAAGUAGCGCCGUCGAACGACUCGACAGCAGCCGCGGUAAUUC
rnacentral:rRNA from 1 species